UUGAAGCUACGUUGUACGUGUAAUAUUAAGUUUUAACCUUUAUACAGUAACAGGGAGUUUUAUAUCCAAGCUGAAAUGGCGGGCCCGGGCUCCUUUGACCUCGGGAUAAACAGGAAAGCUUAUGCGAACACCCACUUGGAGAAGUGUGGUUUAAAACUUUCUAUAAUGUCGCGGCAUCGUGGCU
rnacentral:other from 1 species